rnacentral:misc_RNA from 1 species
GAAGUUGUUUGUUUGUAAUCUGUAGGAUGAAAUACUAAAGAAAGUGGAACUACGUGCUUACGUAUUUUGAAGAUGUUCUCUUCUCUUCUUUGCUCUCUCUCUGUGUCUCCCUCUCAUGCCUGUGCUUGCUUGGUCUCUCAGGGCCUCCUUUCCGUCCUCCCUAGUCCUAUCAAUAAUCAACAAAAAUAUUGCAAACCAUAGAUUUUUUUUUUUCUUGAAUUUAAAGUGAACUAUAUCCAUGAGAAAAUAGUAGUGUGUGCAGUUUAGAAUAAAAUAAAAUAAAAUCAGAACUGCUGUUUCUUUUUUGCACAUGCUAAUAUGUUCAGUGAUCAAACUGAUUUUGACCUUGCCAGCUUUUAAAUUUGUAGGAGAAAUGCCGGGCACCCUCA